UUCUGACUAUUGAUGUUGCUUUUUGUUCACCUUGCACAAACUGAAAGUGAAAUCGAGGAUAAAGGUUUGAUUGAUGCUCUUCGACUUCAAGAAAAAGCAACAAUUUCCAAUAUCACAGCAUAAGCACUAUAUUGUGAAAAAUGGAGCACCACUUCUGUAAUUGUUUAAAUGAGUUACCCACAAAUCCUGCUGCACUACUGGAGCAAACUACUUUCUGCACAAUCGAAGGUCACUUUUAAACCAUUUAUGUGGAAAAGAAGUGACCACACUUGUGUGUGAUGAAAAUUCUGAGGAAAGGUUCUUUGAAUGUCAUUUUGGGAAAGAGAUAUAUGUCACCGAACAAUAGUGUCACUUGUUGGAUGUUUUUCUGUCUGUGACUAUCAUGUUAUAUGCUUGCAGUCUACGGUACAUACAUCUUCAAGCAUAAUAUUUAUUAUUUAGAUCGGAGUGUUUUAUGCCUUAUUCUAACAAAACUAUUUGAAGGUUGUGAAUUAUCUGAUUGAUCCUUUUGUUGGAAAUACUAGUGCAGCGGAUCCCGAAUCUCUUUC